UGGGGAAUCUUGGACAAUGGGGGCAACCCUGAUCCAGCGAUGCCGCGUGAGUGAAGAAGGCCUUCGGGUCGUAAAGCUCUUUAGGUUGGGAAGAAGAUUAUGUGGGGAUAAUCCAUGUAGUUUGACUGUACCGACAGAAUAAGCACCGGCAAACUCUGUGCCAGCAGCCGCGGUAAUACAGAGGGUGCGAGCGUUAAUCGGAGUUACUGGGCGUAAAGGGCGCGUAGGCGGUUUGUUUUGUGUGAUGUGAAAGCCCCGGGCUUAACCUGGGAAGUGCAUCGCAAACGGGCAAACUGGAGUAGAUGAGAGGGUGGUGGAAUUUCCGGUGUAGCGGUGAAAUGCGUAGAGAUCGGAAGGAACGUCAAUGGCGAAGGCAGCCACCUGGCAUCAUACUGACGCUGAGGCGCGAAAGCGUGGGGAGCGAACAGGAUUAGAUACCCCCGUAGUCC
rnacentral:rRNA from 1 species